GGUUACUUUGGUUCGUUGCUUUAUUAAAUAUUGUUAACGGACAAGUUUCAGUGGCUCCUCUUGUUUUGGAAGCUCCGACAGUAAGUGGAUAUAGAGCAAAGGGACCAUCAAUAGAGGAAAUUAUUAAUAGCGUUAAUGAUGAUCUGGGCAGUGGAAAUACGAUAAAUCCGAAAAAGCAAAUUGACUGUUUUAAAACUGAUAGCAAAAACUGGAUUACGCAGAUAGUUUAUAAAAAGUAUUGCUGGAUUUCUAGCAAUAUAGGAAGAAAGUAAUCAUUUGAACAAUGAAAAAAAUACGCACAUGAAA